rnacentral:rRNA from 1 species
GACGAACGCUGGCGGCGUGCUUAACACAUGCAAGUCGAGCGGAAAGGCCCUGCUUUUGUGGGGUGCUCGAGUGGCGAACGGGUGAGUAACACGUGAGUAACCUGCCCUUGACUUUGGGAUAACUUCAGGAAACUGGGGCUAAUACCGGAUAGGAGCUCCUGCUGCAUGGUGGGGGUUGGAAAGUUUCGGCGGUUGGGGAUGGACUCGCGGCUUAUCAGCUUGUUGGUGGGGUAGUGGCUUACCAAGGCUUUGACGGGUAGCCGGCCUGAGAGGGUGACCGGCCACAUUGGGACUGAGAUACGGCCCAGGCUCCUACGGGAGGCAGCAGUGGGGAAUAUUGCACAAUGGGCGGAAGCCUGAUGCAGCAACGCCGCGUGCGGGAUGACGGCCUUCGGGCUGUAAACCGCUUUCGCCUGUGACGAAGCGUGAGUGACGGUAAUGGGUAAAGAAGCACCGGCUAACUACGUG